rnacentral:lncRNA from 1 species
AGCAACCAUGUUGUGAUGAAUCACUAAAGAAACUUCGUAUGUACCUCUUAUGCCCCCCAAAUAAUUUUAGAGUACGGAACAAUUUUAUAGUUCGUAUGGGCCUUUCUGAAAUUAAACUGACAAGAGGAAAGCAUGAACUGACAUAAGAAAUAUGAACAGGAGAAUUUAACACAGCAUCAGACCUCUCCUGAAGAAAUAGGGUAACAAAGCCCCAGGGUUUGAUAUGACGUCGAGCAAAGAUAGGAUAAAGAAGAGAAAAUGAGAGGGAUAAAGAUGACUGGCUUUAGAAUGUUACAGUGUUUCAGAAGGCAAGUUUGACGCUGUUCCUUUCAUUGGUCAGCUGGAGAAUCGAAAAGCUGUUCAUCCUAAAGGAAGCCAACCAAAAAAAUAUGCAGGGAAGAAAAAUGAAAAUAAUAUACUAUGUUUACAGAGUCAAUACAUCAUGUAUGCCAAUGAGCAGAAGUGAAGCAUGCUUCUUCCACACAUUGUUUGACAUGAAAAGCAGAAUCCACAGUAACAACUAAGCAGAACUUUUUCAAUGUAUUUGAUCUGACAGUGACAGUUCUGUAGCCAUGGCAAUAAUAAUCACUGGAACUGCUCAAGAAUAUCAGCCAAUCAGUAACAGCUCUCGCUUCUCAACAUCACCCACCAGAGAAUGGACUUUUGCAAGAAACAUGUUCUGAAUAUCAAGUUCUCAAUGAUGGUGAAUAGAAUCAGCACUCCAUGGCUCUUUCAGAAAAUACCCACUUAACUCUCAAGAAUAGCCCUAUAAAAGGACGCUUAUCAAACUCUCUAGAAUAAAAUCAGUUCUAAAUAUGAAGAGUUGGCCAUUCUGUGGGCAUUUUUUCAACCCGUUGACUUAAUGGACUUAAUAUCAUCGCCAUCAUUAUUACUUAAAAUAAACGGAAUAAAGGUCUGUGUGGCCAGAAGGGAAGAAAGAAGAAAUGGAGAGGAAGCAUUUGACCAAAAAAAAAAAAAAAAAAAAAGAAAGAAAGAAAAAAUGGACGAGAACCAUUCAACACCGGGCUCUGGCUCUGGGGUAAAUACAGCAGGAAAUGAAACCAUGAAUAUGU